UAGAGCAUCUGGGCAAACAGUAUGAAGCAUAUUAAGAAGCACCCAACAGACGAUAGAUUUUAACUUAAUGUAGCAACUCUCAAAAUUUAAAAUGAGUUCGUAAAAACAGAACCAGUAAAUUUAGCUAUGCAUUAGAACAAAUGCACAACAAGUGCCUGUGCUUCCUUUAAGUACCUCGCUUGACAAUACAAUGCAGCCUUAAGUUAGAUGGGCAGGCGGCACCAGGGAAGAUGAACAUAAAACAUUUCAUAACAAUGUAUGAAAAAUAACCAACAGAACAAGCACAUCCAUGUACAUUCCAUGAAUAAGAAAAGUACUGGUAGUGAACUUGCUAUUUCUUUUUAUGCCUGCAUUAAAGCUCUUUAUCAAUUUGGCAACUUAAGUCAACCAGUUCUAGCUUAAAGAACAAAAUAGCACAACUAUGCAAGCUUUCAGCUGCAUUAUAUAAUGCGGUGAAUCAAAACCCUCACUGGUAAUGUUCAGAACCUAUGCUAAAUUCAUCAUUCCAACAUGAAGCUAAUACGUUGCAAAUCAUAAAUUAGACUACCACAAUAAAUACAGAUGAUAGAAUGUAACAGAUCUACAUAGCCACAAGGGUAAGCUGGUCAUACAAACAACACAUU
rnacentral:lncRNA from 1 species